rnacentral:rRNA from 1 species
AUUGAACGCUGGCGGCAGGCCUAACACAUGCAAGUCGAACGGUAACAGGAAGCAGCUUGCUGCUUCGCUGACGAGUGGCGGACGGGUGAGUAAUGUCUGGGAAACUGCCUGAUGGAGGGGGAUAACUACUGGAAACGGUAGCUAAUACCGCAUAACGUCGCAAGACCAAAGAGGGGGACCUUAGGGCCUCUUGCCAUCGGAUGUGCCCAGAUGGGAUUAGCUAGUAGGUGGGGUAACGGCUCACCUAGGCGACGAUCCCUAGCUGGUCUGAGAGGAUGACCAGCCACACUGGAACUGAGACACGGUCCAGACUCCUACGGGAGGCAGCAGUGGGGAAUAUUGCACAAUGGGCGCAAGCCUGACGCAGCCAUGCCGCGUGUAUGAAGAAGGCCUUCGGGUUGUAAAGUACUUUCAGCGGGGAGGAAGGGAGUAAAGUUAAUACCUUUGCUCAUUGACGUUACCCGCAGAAGAAGCGCCGGCUAACUCCGUG